AUUCUGUCCGCGUGGAUUCUGUCGCUGUUCUUCCGCAUCAAAGCAAAUUCCAUGAUGUGCAGUGCAAUCCUUUCAAGCGCAAGGUCUUCGAAUUUGGACUUCUUUGGCAAGGACUAGAAAAUGGAAGGCAAUGAAGGGAAGAAAUUAUCGACAGCUUAAGGAUGGAAAGAAAGAUGCAAGGAGGUAGUGUGAUAUGGAACAAUUAAACGUAAGAAAUUUCUGGCUCUAGUAAUUCCGCACA